UAUUGUUACGUUGCCAUCAUUCAGUUGGGCACUCUAGCGAGACUGCCGGUAAUAAACCGGAGGAAGGUGGGGAUGACGGUCAAAUCAUCAUGCCCCUUAUGACCUGGGCUACACACGUGCUACAAUGGUUGGUACAACGAGUUGCGAGUCGGUGACGGCGGAGCUAAUCUCUUAAAAGCCAAUCUCAGUUCGGAUUGUAGGCUGCAACUCGCCUACAUGAAGUCGGAAUCGCUAGUAAUCGCGGAUCAGCACGCCGCGGUGAAUACGUUCCCGGGCCUU
rnacentral:rRNA from 1 species